rnacentral:lncRNA from 1 species
AGUGCAUACAUACUUUUAAUAAUAUUAGUUCAGUUGAGUAAGUCUACCGAUUGGAGAGUUUGUAGAGAGGGCUUAAUUAGGAUCAAGUGUAGACCUUUUUUCUCAUACCAUUUACUAAUUUUAAAUAGUAUUGAUCAGUAAAGUAAGGCUACAUAUUUGAGAGUUUAAGUAAGUAAGAAUAGGAGGCAAGGUAGUGGAAGAAGCUAAGUGUGGGAGGAGAGGAGUUCAACUCCACUUGGAACAAGUCAUUUUUCUUCUAACUUACAUAUAGCGGUAAAGAGUAGAAAAGAAACUUACACUGUUAACAUCAAACUUCAAUUGGUAUGUCUCUAAAGAAGAUGAAAGAAAACCCAAAGAAGUGGUAUCUAUCAUCAUAAUAAAUAACACAAAAGUUUGGAAUAAAUUUCACAUAAACAAAUUGAAG